UGGGGAAUAUUGCACAAUGGGCGCAAGCCUGAUGCAGCAACGCCGCGUGAGGGAAGAAGGUUUUCGGAUCGUAAACCUCUAUCGACCGGGGAAAAUAAAUGAUAGUACCGGAGUAAGAAGCCCCGGCUAACUACGUGCCAGCAGCCGCGGUAAUACGUAGGGGGCAAGCGUUAUCCGGAAUCACUGGGUGUAAAGGGUGAGUAGGCGGUACGGCAAGUCAUAUGUGAAAAUCCAAGGCUUAACCUGGGACGUGCAUAAGAAACUGCCGAACUAGAGUACAGGAGAGGUAAGCGGAAUUCUUAGUGUAGCGGUGAAAUGCGUAGAUAUUAAGAAGAACACCAGUGGCGAAGGCGGCUUACUGGACUGAAACUGACGCUGAGUCACGAAAGCGUGGGGAGCAAACA
rnacentral:rRNA from 1 species